rnacentral:rRNA from 1 species
GACGAACGCUGGCGGCGUGCUUAACACAUGCAAGUCGAGCGGUAAGGCCCUUUCGGGGUACACGAGCGGCGAACGGGUAGAGUAACACGUGGGUGACCUGCCCUCAGCUCUGGGAUAAGCCCGGGAAACUGGGUCUAAUACUGGAUAUGACUCCAUGACGCAUGUUGUGGGGUGGAAAGCCUUGUGCGGCUGAGGGAUGGGCCCGCGGCCUAUCAGCUUGUUGGUGGGGGA